AUUGGCGGUCAUGCCGCAAGGGCAACACCCGGACUCUUCCCGAACCCGGAAGUGAAGACUUGCAGGGUAUAGGAUAGCACUGCACUUAUGUGUGGAGCUUCUUGGACGCUGCCAAUC
rnacentral:rRNA from 1 species